GAGAAGUGUUUUCUGACAUCUUAAAAAAAACAUCAGUUUUUUAAAAUCAUGAAAUAGGUGGUUUGUUAAAGAACGUCGUCUCUUAAGGUAAAUCAAGAAGACAAACUGGCAAAUCACAGGACUUCAACAGAUGCUAAAGGACUGCUGAGGUACACCAGACUGAACUCCACCAUGCCAGUUUGCAGUGCAGACUACAAAGGAGGGGGACUUGCUGAACUUUCUGGUGAGCUGAUCUCUGAGUUCACUGAUCCUACUGCUGACAGAGUGGCUGUGUGCUCCUCCUCCUUAUCAUCUUCCGUCUGGCUGGGGCUGACCACUACACUGCUUGGCCCUGAAGAGUAUAGGCUGACUGGAUUUACUGAUGGCUUCUGGCCUAUAACUUCAUGCAUGGCUGCAUAAAAUAUCCAUGUUGCUGCAGUCACUUCUCCCUCGUCUGUCCCUGACCCAGUUUUUGGAAGUGACAAGUCCUUAACAUAGUAAUACAUUCAUAUACUACACAAUCACAGAGGCACUUUAAAUUAUCAAGCAACUUACCUUGUACUUCUUUUUAAGAUUUUCCCAAUUUGUUUUGCAUUGUUGCGGUGUCACUUUUCCCUCCAAUCCCAUUGUUUUUAUUAUUUCACUGCAUGAGACAUAUAUAUACUUAACACUUAUUGCUUUAUACUUACGUAUUAUGUUUCUAUUGUUUACAUCUAUAAACUUAUAGCCUUGGGUGGAGGCAUUCCUGUGUCCAGUAAACAGAUGGUCAUUUUCAGAUCUAAAUUGGAUUAAAUUAAAAGUAAUUUCAUCCGUCCCUGUAAAAGAAAAAAAAAGUACAAUUAUUAUAAGUAAAAAUAACUACCGUAUGCAUUUUAAUGUGGCAGUACACUUUUCCCCCAGUGGGCCCACCACCUGCAGGGGGAACCGUGAGGGACCGGUGCAAAGAGGAUUGGGUGGCGGACGAAGGUGGAGACCUCAACGGCCCGAUCCCCGGA